rnacentral:rRNA from 1 species
GCAGGCGAUAAUAGUAACUUGAGGUGCUAUAUAUAGUUAGACAAUAAGAAGCUAAGCAGGGUUGGGCCUGGCUAGUACUUGAAUGGGAGACUACCUAGGAAGACCAGGUGCUGUAGGCG